UACGUAGGGUGCGAGCGUUGUCCGGAAUUAUUGGGCGUAAAGCGCACGUAGGCGGAUUGUUUAGUUAGGGGUGAAAUCCCGGAGCUCAACUUCGGAAUUGCCUUUGAUACUGUUGGUCUCGAGUCCGGAAGAGGUGGGUGGAAUUCCUAGUGUAGAGGUGAAAUUCGUAGAUAUUAGGAAGAACACCGGUGGCGAAGGCGGCCCACUGGUCCGGUACUGACGCUGAGGUGCGAAAGCGUGGGGAGCAAACAGG
rnacentral:rRNA from 1 species